GGCCAUUGAUUUUGGCUGAUGUCCACAGAAAGCUAAUAUACCUUCCAACGCCCUUGGAGGGGCUCUAUAAACACAGACGUCAUCAGGAAGAGGUUAGAUGAACCUGCAUGAACAUCCCUGUGUCCUUGAUCCAGACAUGGGAGAAAUGAGAAGGCCAAGAUGGUCAGAACAUUCAUGUCCUUGGAACAGCUUGUUCUCUUCAGUGUAAGGAGGCUAACUUAGGAGCACAGUGAAGCCCAUGAUCAUCACAGUUAUCUGUCAGUCAAGCACCUGACUGUAACGGAAGUCAGCAAAUAAAACGCAUCACUUGAGAUUGGCUGAAGAACA
rnacentral:lncRNA from 13 species